CAAUAAUGUUCUUCAGAUCAAAAAGCUCCAUGUGGUAGGCAGAAAUUUGCGCCCCCACCCGCCAAAACCCCUGCUGUCAAAGCUGUUCCAUCCUAAUGGUAAGAACCUGUGAAUAUGUUUCCUUACAUUGCAAACUGUGAUUAAGGUUAGGGACCUUGAAGUGAGAAGAGUAACCUGAAUUACCCAGGUGAGCCCAAUUUAAUCACAUUAAUUCUUAAAAGUGGAAAAGUUUUUCCAGCUGUGGUCAGAGAGACUCAAGAUGGCAGGCAGAGGAUUCCACUUUGACCACGCCCAGUGGUUGCUGGUUCUGAGAUGCAGGGGGCUGUGUGCAAGGAACUGAAUUCUGCCAACAACCUGAAUGAACGAGGCAUUGGAUCCUUGUCUAGAGCCUUCAGAAAGGGACACAGCAGUGCCAUCACCUUGAUGUUGGCUGGGAAGAAUCUCUAUCUUGCCCAUUUUACAAUCAGUGGGAAGAACAGGAGCUUUGGAGUCAGGAUAAAAUGCAUACUCCUGAGAAUAUAGUCACCUGGAUUCUGUCCACUUUUUUGUUUCCAUUCAGCCGUUCUUCACACACACUAUGGAAGCCAGUCUUGGUAAUUUGAACAGCUUGGAACAGAAGAUUUAUGGAGGACAUGAAUAUACGAAGAUACUGAAGAAGACUAAUGCACCACAUUUAUGUAGUCUGAAGUUUAUUGCUGCUCUCAUUAAACAGCUGGCCGGAACUAAGCUGAAAGAGUUUUUCUGACUGCUGUGAAAAUGUGUUUGACCCUUUAGGGUCAAUCUCAAAACUGGUUAGGAAGCAGCAUUCUAUGUCACUCUUUCUCAUAUUUAAUAAUGCACAGAACUCAUAUAAAAAUAAAUAGCUUCUGCAAUGUUGACUAUGUUUGUUUGUUCAGACCUCUAUAACAAAAUAUCACAAAUUAGGUAGCUUAUAAACAAAGGCGCCUUCUCUAUUUCUGAUUUCUUGGUCAGCAUAUCCAGAGGUGUAUUGAUUUUGUUGAUAUUCUCAAAUAAACAGCUUUAGGUUUUAUUGAUGUAGUUUAUUACUUAUCCCGUAUCUAUGUAAUCGAUUUCCACAAUUUAAUUUUUUUCCUCAUGCUUACUUUGGUCUUAACUUGCUCUUCUUUGUCUUAUAUCCUGAGAUAUAAGCAUAAAGUUUUAGUUUUAGACUCUUCUUUUCUAAUGAAAGCAUUUAAAACUGUAAAUUGCCCCCUAAGAAUUGUUUCAACUUUAUAUCACAAAUUUUGAUAUGUUCUAAGUUUUUUAAUCACUCAAUAUUAUCUAAUUUUCAUUGUCAUUUUUUAUUUGACUCAUGCAUAGGUUAAAAGUAUUUAGAGCUCCUUUCAAAUUGUUGUUAAUCCCCAAAUUAAUUCUCUUUUGCUCAGAGAACAUACUCCAUAUGAUUUCUAUCUUUUAAAUUUAUUGAAACUUAUUUAUGAACUAAAAUAUGUUCUAUAUUGGUUGAUAUCCCAUUUGCACUUAAAAAGAAUGUAUAUCAUGCAAUUUAUGUGGCAAUUAGGUGAAGGUGGUUUGUAUAUUCCUGCAGAUUGCUUUGGUCUAGUUUUUUUAUCAGUUACUUAACCUAGUCUCUUAAAAUUUCCAACUAUAAUUAUGUAUAUCUCCCUUUAGUUCUGUCACUUUUUAUUUCAUAUAUUUUAAAGCUCUAUAGGCAUAUCUAUAUUUAUUAUUAUUAUGUCUUUGGGAUAUACAGAAAUUUUAUCUUGAUUAAAUGCUCUGUAUCAUUGUUUCUAAUAUUAAGAGUAUUUAAGCUUUAUUUUUCUGAUAUUAAUUUAACUAAUCCAAAUUUUUUUAUGUUUUUUUGUUUGCUAGGAAUUUCCCCCUUUUAGCAUUCAAUUUACUUAAGUAUGUAUGGUUGAAAUGUAUAUCCUGUAGCAUAGUUUGUUCUUGCUUUUUUUUUAACCACAUUUCAGCCUUUUGAUUAGAAUGUCUAGCCCAUUUAUAUUUAAUGUAAUCAAUGAUACAUUCGUAUUUAUUUGUCUGACAUUUUAAUAUUUGUUUUCCCUUUUGCUUUCAGUAUUGUUUUGUUUCUGCUCCUCUGUUUCUUCUUUCUUAGCUUAUUUUGUGUUAAUCAAAAAAUUUAAUAUUCCUUUUUAAUUCCUUAUUGACAUUCUAGCUAUAUUCAUUUACAUCAAUAUUUUUAUGGUUAUUUUGGGGAUUGAAAUAUGCCUUUUUAACUUGUUGCAAUCUCGUUACAAUUAAUAUUGAAUUACAUCUGGUAAAAUAUUGGAAAU
rnacentral:lncRNA from 1 species